rnacentral:snRNA from 15 species
CAGUGUUACAGCUCUUUUAGAAUUUGUCUAGUAGGUCUUCUGGCGCUUGCCGGAAGGCCCUC